UUCAGGAUAUGGACCUGUCACGGAUCUAGUUGCUGGCUCGACGAUCAACGUCACCUGGCUAACAACGCUUGACUCACACCGGGGCGGUUAUCGAAUAGAGCUGUAUUCCGCCAACGAGACAUUGCUAGCGACACUAACGCCCCCUGCCACGAACGACGACGACGGCUACCAAUUUUUUGACACGGAUUCUCACGAGGUGGCGCUGCCGGCGACAGAAUGCUCGGGCUGCUUCAUCAGGGUAGUGAGGAAGGCGAACGAGUGGGGAGCAGGGUACUACUUCCGCACCUGCGCAGACGUCAACAUCG